rnacentral:rRNA from 1 species
UACGAGGGGGGCUAGCGUUGUUCGGAUUUACUGGGCGUAAAGCGCACGUAGGCGGAUCUUUAAGUCAGAGGUGAAAUCCCAAGGCUCAACCUUGGAACUGCCUUUGAUACUGGGGAUCUUGAGUCCGGGAGAGGUGAGUGGAACUGCGAGUGUAGAGGUGAAAUUCGUAGAUAUUCGCAAGAACACCAGUGGCGAAGGCGGCUCACUGGCCCGGUACUGACGCUGAGGUGCGAAAGCGUGGGGAGCAAACAGG